rnacentral:rRNA from 1 species
UACAGAGGGUGCAAGCGUUGUUCGGAAUUAUUGGGCGUAAAGCGCGUGUGGGCGGCUUUGCAAGUCGGGUGUGAAAGCCCUCGGCUCAACCGGGGAAGUGCACUCGAAACUGCAUGGCUAGAGUCUCGGAGAGGGAUCGGUGGAAUUCUCGGGUGUAGAGGUGAAAUUCGGUAAGAUAUCGAGAGGAACACCGGUGGCGAAGGCGGCGAUCUGGACGAUGCUGACGAGAGCGAAACGUGGGGAGCAAACGGAUAAGAUACCGGG